rnacentral:rRNA from 1 species
UACAGAGGUCUCAAGCGUUGUUCGGAUUCAUUGGGCGUAAAGGGUGCGUAGGUGGCGCGCUAAGUCAGGUGUGAAAUUUCGGAGCUUAACUCCGAAACUGCAUUUGAUACUGGCGUGCUUGAGGACUGGAGAGGAGACUGGAAUUCAUGGUGUAGCAGUGAAAUGCGUAGAUAUCGAGAGGAACACCAGUGGCGAAGGCGAGUCCCUGGACAACACCUGACACUGAGGCACGAAAGCUAGGGGAGCAAACAGG